CCUUGCUGCUGGAAGCUCCUGGCAGGAAGGGCUGCUGGUACUGGAAGCUGUCGUUUAUUUCCUGUUUCAUCACAGUUAGAGAGAGUGGGUCCGGCCGUGUGAUGCUGCCCCCGCGCUGCCGCCCGACACUGCAGAAGAAGGAACACAGAGACAGCCUUCGCUGCUGGGAGCUGAGCUCUCAGGCUGUCAGGGGGCGGAGCCAAGCUCGGGCAGAAGGAAGAGACAGAAGAAUGUCCACUCCGGUGCAGUACAGGUGACAGGGAGUGUCGCCACCUUUCUCCCGGAUCGGACGCUCCGCCUCCCUGCAGUGUCUUCAGGGAGAGACAUGAUAACAUGGGGGUUUGAGGAGAAGGCAUUCCAGCUCACAGUGUAGGAGCAGCAGCCCAGCGAGUCCGGAGUCAGACCUCUGGUGACCUUUUUACCCCACCUGCCGUCAGUGACAACUUGGGGUGGCAAAGGCCUCUCAUUUGCAAUGAUGUGUGCAAAGACUACAUUCGUGUGGAUCCUAUGCUUCACAGCAUUUCUUCCCGGAGUUUACUCCAAAGUUGAUGGAGCUGAUCAAUGUCAUCUGAGGAGUACCGCCAAUUCUGGUCAGGAUUCAUUGAUCUGUACCAUCACAACGAGUGCCUGUGGCGUGUCAGAAGCCCGGACUAUGCCAACAGAAUCAAGCGGAAUCGGGCAUAUCAGCAGCUUAUUGAGUACAGUAGAGGCAGAAACUCUGAUGUCGAUGUGAAUUGGGUGAAGAAAAAAUUUUCAAAUUUCCGAACAGUGUUCGUGAAGGAACGCAAGAAGGUGCAAGAUUCACAGCGAUCCGGAGCCGGGUGCACU